AGCCCAGCAGCAGAAGAGGGAGAUUCCGGAACUGGAUGUGAAAGGACCUUUCUGUCUGCAGCUUCCCGGACCCAAUUACAUGUUGUACCCAGUCUGGUUACCCUGGUAACAGGUGUCGCGGUUUGUCAAGGAACUGAGAGAGGAGACUUAAGAGGCCUAUUCACUUGAAUCAUGGAGUCAUCCUCAAAGGGUCUGCUCAGCCAAGUUACUCAAUUCUGGAACCUCCUAGAUGAUCUGGCUGAAAGCAAUCCUGAGAGCUAUGAGAAGUUCAUUCAACAGCAAUUGAAAGAGGGGAAACAGCUCUGUGCAGCCCCAGAACCACAGCUCUGUCUACAAACUAGGAUCCUGAAACCAAAAGAAAAAAUACUUUUUAUCAACCUAUGUGUGUGGAAAAGGAUCCCAGCUCCCCAGUCAACCACACAUCCAGUACCUCUAAGUAUUGGAAGACCAGAAGAUAUGUCUGAGGCAUCAGAUGUUUACACAGUCAUCGAUGUUGCCUAUAAUCCUGAUGUUCUCCAGGCAGCAGAAAAGGACCAAGUAAAAAAAGAUCAAUUAAUAUGGAUGGCCAUGAAAUGCAUUGAGGAACAACUUCAGUUCACUCUCUCACACUCUUACCAUAUCACCAAAUUUAGGAUAAAAGGAAGCAUUCAAAGGAUGAAACAAAAUCUGAUGAGAAUCCAAACUGACCCCACAGAUUUAAGAGAGAAAAUGAGAAAGGAACUAACCCUUGAACAGAUAAGAAGCAGUACUGUGAGCAACACAGAUCACUUUCCUCAACUUUUACUGCCAAAAAACCAAGUUUCAGGCAAAACAGGGUGUCUGAUAGAAGAGAUGUCCAGUACAGAGAUCCAGGUGGAGAUGAAAAGACCAACCUAUGAAUUAAAAGUUGUGGUGGAUCAAAAUGAGAAACCUCUGAAAAUUGAAUUAAAAGUAGAAUUACCUGGUAUUAAUUCAGUAUCUCUCUGUGACCUUAGUGUUUCUGAGGAUGAUUUACUGAUCGAGGUCUCUGAGAAGUACAGAUUACACCUGAAUCUUCCAGAAUCUGUGGAUACUGAAAUGACUACAGCAAAAUUUAUUAAAGAGAAAGCUACAUUAUUCGUCACGAUGCCACUUGUGUAAAUCAAGAGCAUCACGUGUUUUGGGUUUUCAGUGCUAAAGUCAUGGGAAUUAUAGGACCUUCAUUACGGGUGAAGAGGUAGUGGUUUAUCUUAAACACUAGUUUCAUAUUUUCUAAGAGUUCCUUUAGAUGGAAUGAGAUUUUUUUCAUCAGCUGUUUUUUUUUUUUUUAACUCACUCUUUCUCCUCAAAUAAACUUGGCAUCAGGCAGAAACUACUAAAGUCUUGCCAUGAUAUACUUGUUUUGAAGAUAUUUGUAAUGGUCUUAAGUAAUUUAAGUAUCAUUUGGGGAAUUUUGUUUCUAAGUAACUUGUGAGAAUUCCUGGUUUACUGGUUGAAAAAAAAUUUUGUCUCGAGUAAAUUUUUGCAUUAGGAAUAAGUCCUAGACUGUGCAAGAUGUUUUUUAUUACCAAGAUGGGCCAUAGCAAUUAAAGUUUCCACCAGCAAUAAAGAUACAGGGCCUAUGUAAUAAUAUGCAAACCUCUGCUUCUAUGAACCUCUGUACUUCUAUAAAACAGAUCUGGCAGCAGUCUAAGCUACCCAAGCCAACCUUUAAAUGUCAGAUGUGGACUUGUCUUUGGAUUGGAUACAUGCAGUAACAGUAACUGAAUGUUAUUGCACGUAAGACACAAAAUACAUCCAAUUCUAGUUUAAGAAAAAGGAGUUGACUUUUGAGACAAGUGCCUUUCUCCUAAUAAUUUUAAAAAUACAGAAGUAGGGGCUGGCCCCGUGGCCGAGUGUUUAAUUUUUAAACAAUCUAAUUUGAACCAAAAAACACUACUUCUAACUUUUUUUCUUUCAGUUCUGGUAAGAGAAAUAGAAUGAAUCCAGAUUUAAAUUAUAGCUCAGAUUUUUAAUUCAGAACAAUUUUUAUUAGAAGGAGUUUUUAUUUUUCUAUCAAGGGAACAACAGAGCCAUAAGCAUUAGCAAAGAAUGAAUUGUUUUUGAAGUUUCAUGUAUUUGAACCAGAUGUGGCUCAUAUUGACGAUGGUCCCCUGUGAUAAGCUUGUUCCUUCUGCAUAAUCUUCAAUUCAAGCUAAAAUUACUAAAUACUGAAAAAUCAGAUUAAUGUAUUGAAUUGUCUUCAUAAUAAUACAGCAAGGAUGUUUGCGGAAUAUACGGAGUGUCACUUGUGCACCAUGUAAUAAUAAAAGAUUCAACACUGAAAGACCUAAAUUUCAGGGGAUAGUCCACGUAGUACAUAUACAAGGAAGCACUGGUCAGAUUUAUUUUAAAUAGUCAUAAACAAUUCCACGUAUUUAUUGAAACAUAUCAAUUCAAUAGAAAGUCUGGAAUUGUAAUAAUGUUCCCAAUUCAUUUUUAUUAUCCUAAAUAUCACCUCCUCCUUCCUCGCCACAGAAGAAAGGCAAAUUGUAACAAAAUAGAAAAAAAUAUUUAGGCUGAUAAGGAAGCAUGCAACCUAAAUAAUUUUUUCUCUGCAAUAGGAUUUUAGGACUUUCUUAUUUUACAUGAGACAACACUGGGGUGGAAAAACACAGAACACUUUUUUUGUACACAUUUAAUAUUUUUUCCUUUAUCCAAGUAGACAUGACCACUUUGUUUUGGCCAUGAUCUUUUAGCACUCCAAACUGUUCACCAGUGUAUCUCUCCCCCUCUUCUUUUCAGACAGGACUUGGUGAUAAAUGGACUUUGGCACAUACCUCACUAGAAAUCAUAUUUUACAUAUGUACACUUAUUCCAUAGUUACUUGACACAGUUUGCCAAAGUUAUUUGAGUAAUAAAUUCUGGUAAUUAAGUUCAUUUGCAAGUAACCACCAGUUAAUCUUGGAGGAAAAAUUCUACUUUCACAACUUCUCUCAGUUAAAUUCUAUAAGAAUAUUCUUUUAUUUGGAGAUAACUGUGGAAUUCUGCUCUCAGAAUUAUACAUUUAAGUUGUUUACAUAACUACCCAUACAAAUUCUCACUUAUACCAAGUAGCUGGUUUAUAUUUAUAUCUUCAUCUCAAGAGGGGAAAACAACCAUUUCAGGAUUCAUAGAAAACUAAAGAACAGUUGAUUUAAGAGGUCUAAGAAAAUGGUGACUUUUAAAAUUUCACUUAUUUUCCUUUAAGUUCUCUACCCUUCCUAUCCCUGAUAAACCAAGAUCAUGUAACAGAAAAAUUUAAAUUAGGGUUAAAUUCCAAAAUCAAGCUUCAAUUCAAAGAGAAUUCUCUUUUCCAAGAGAACUAAUUUUCCUGACUUCUCUUUCCCUCAAAUCUAAGCAAAAGAUGUGAGGCAAUUAAAUUUCAAAACCUCAAGGUUUCAUCCAGGUUACUUUUCGAACCUGUCUCAAUAGGGAACCACAAUUCUACUUCUAUAUUUCCCAGUGGAAGUACUUAUCACCAAAGGGCUAGGCCACAUGUCCCUUGACUAGGAGUACACAGCUUAAAAUCUGGUGUUUAUUAAAUGUGCACAAUAUUUGAGUGUAAUUGGCAUUUAAAAAAAUUCAGUAAUGCACAUUACAAAUAACUUAUCCGGACAGACUCAAAAAUAACUGGUUAACUUUAAAAUAAAAAGAAUACCUGUUUAAUAACAUAUUUAUAUCUUGAUAAGAAUGAACCAGUGUGACCUGGGAGAGUCUAGAAAUUCUUGGGUUAAUUAUAACAACAUAGUGAUAGGUUUUUCAAGGUACUUUCUAAACUCAGCAAGCCAUUGGGCUCCAACUGCUCCAUCCACAACCCGAUGA